rnacentral:misc_RNA from 1 species
UCCGAGUUGACCCCGGCAGUCUCCUAUGAGUCCCCGGCUUGAACCGCUGGCAACAUAGGACAAGGGUUGCGCUCGUUGCGGGACUUAACCCAACAUCUCACGACACGAGCUGACGACAGCCAUGCAACACCUGUGUAGGGCCCUUGCGGACACCGUGUCUCCACGGCUUUUCCCUACAUGUCAAGCCCUGGUAAGGUGGGGAUGACGUUUACGUGCACUU